rnacentral:rRNA from 1 species
GACGAACGCUGGCGGCGCGCCUAACACAUGCAAGUCGAACGGAGUCAAGAGGAGCUUGCUUUUCUUGACUUAGUGGCGAACGGGUGAGUAACGCGUGAGUAACCUGCUCUGGUGUGGGGGACAACAGUUGGAAACGACUGCUAAUACCGCAUAAGCCCACGUAUCCGCAUGGAUCUGCGGGAAAAGGAUUUAUUCGCUUCAGGAUGGACUCUCGUCCAAUUAGCUAGUUGGUGAGGUAACGGCCCACCAAGGCGAGGACUGGUAGCCGGACUGUGAGGUUGAGCGGCGACUUUGGGGCUGAGACACGGCCCAGACUCCUACGCGAGGCAGGAGUGGGUGAUAUUGCACUAUGGGGGAAGCGCUGAUGCAGCGACGCCGCGUAGAGGAAGAAGGUGUUCGGAAUGUAAACUCCGGUAGUUAGGGACGAUAAUGACGGUACCUAACAAGAAAGCACCGGCUAACUACGUG